rnacentral:rRNA from 1 species
GACGAACGCUGGCGGCGUGCUUAACACAUGCAAGUCGAACGAUGAACCCGGAGCUUGCUCCGGUGGAUUAGUGGCGAACGGGUGAGUAACACGUGAGUAACCUGCCCUUGACUCUGGGAUAACUGCGGGAAACUGUAGCUAAUACCGGAUACUUUCACCGGAAGGCAUCUUCUGGUGAUGAAAGAAUUUCGGUCAGGGAUGAGCUCGCGGCCUAUCAGCUUGUUGGUGAGGUAACGGCUCACCAAGGCGACGACGGGUAGCCGGCCUAAGAGGGUGACCGGCCACACUGGGACUGAGACACGGCCCAGACUCCUACGGGAGGCAGCAGUGGGGAAUAUUGCACAAUGGGCGCAAGCCUGAUGCAGCAACGCCGCGUGAGGGAUGAAGGCCUUCGGGUUGUAAACCUCUUUUAGCAGGGAAGAAGCGAAAGUGACGGUACCUGCAGAAAAAGCACCGGCUAACUACGUGCCAGCAGCCGCCGUAA